rnacentral:rRNA from 1 species
UACAGAGGGGGCAAGCGUUAUUCGGAAUUAUUGGGCGUAAAGUGCGCGUAGGCGGCUUUUCAAGUGACGGGUGAAAUCCCUCGGCUUAACCGAGGAACUGCCUGUCAGACUGGAAGGCUUGAGACCGGGAGAGGUGAGUGGAAUUCCCAGUGUAGCGGUGAAAUGCGUAGAUAUUGGGAGGAACACCAGUGGCGAAGGCGGCUCACUGGACCGGAACUGACGCUGAGGCGCGAAAGCGUGGGGAGCAAACAGG